GACGAACGCUGGCGGCGUGCUUAACACAUGCAAGUCGAACGGAAAGGCCCCUUUGGGGGUACUCACGUGGCUAACGGGUGAGUAACACGUAAGUAACCUGCCCUCGCUUUCGGGAUAACUUCAGGAAACUGGGGCUAAUACCGGCCAGGAAUCAUGGCUGCAUGGUGGGGGUUGGAAAGCGUCGGCGGGUUUGGAUGGACUCGCGGCUCCUCAGCGUGUUGGUGGGGUGGUGGCGUAUCAAGGCGUUUACGGGUGGCCCGCCUGGGAGGGCGACACGCCACAUUGGGACUGAGAUACGGGCCAGACCCCUACGGGAGGCCGCAGGGGGGGAUAUUGCACAAUGGGCGGAAGCCUGAUGCAGCAACGCCGCGUGCGGGAUGACGGCCUUCGGGUUGUAAACCGCUUUCAGCAGGGGAGAAGCUUGUGGUGACGGUACCUGCAGAAGAAGCACCGGCUAACUACGUG
rnacentral:rRNA from 1 species